AGAGUUUGAUCCUGGCUCAGGACGAACGCUGGCGGCGCGCCUAACACAUGCAAGUCGAACGGAGCUUAGAGAGCUUGCUUUUUAAGCUUAGUGGCGAACGGGUGAGUAACGCGUGAGUAACCUGCCCUAGAGUGGGGGACAACAGUUGGAAACGACUGCUAAUACCGCAUAAGCCCACGGUACCGCAUGGUACUGAGGGAAAAGGAUUUAUUCGCUUUAGGAUGGACUCGCGUCCAAUUAGCUAGUUGGUGAGGUAACGGCCCACCAAGGCGACGAUUGGUAGCCGGACUGAGAGGUUGAACGGCCACAUUGGGACUGAGACACGGCCCAGACUCCUACGGGAGGCAGCAGUGGGGGAUAUUGCACAAUGGGGGAAACCCUGAUGCAGCGACGCCGCGUGGAGGAAGAAGGUUUUCGGAUUGUAAACUCCUGUCGUUAGGGACGAUAAUGACGGUACCUAACAAGAAAGCACCGGCUAACUACGUGCCAGCAGCCGCGGUAAAACGUAGGGUGCAAGCGUUGUCCGGAAUUACUGGGUGUAAAGGGAGCGCAGGCGGACCGGCAAGUUGGAAGUGAAAUCCAUGGGCUCAACCCGUGAAUUGCUUUCAAAACUGCUGGCCUUGAGUAGUGCAGAGGUAGGUGGAAUUCCCGGUGUAGCGGUGGAAUGCGUAGAUAUCGGGAGGAACACCAGUGGCGAAGGCGGCCUACUGGGCACCAACUGACGCUGAGGCUCGAAAGUGUGGGUAGCAAACAGGAUUAGAUACCCUGGUAGUCCACACCGUAAACGAUGAUUACUAGGUGUUGGAGGAUUGACCCCUUCAGUGCCGCAGUUAACACAAUAAGUAAUCCACCUGGGGAGUACGACCGCAAGGUUGAAACUCAAAGGAAUUGACGGGGGCCCGCACAAGCAGUGGAGUAUGUGGUUUAAUUCGAAGCAACGC
rnacentral:rRNA from 1 species